rnacentral:rRNA from 1 species
AGUGAACGCUGGCGGCAGGCCUAACACAUGCAAGUCGAACGGCAGCACAGUAAGAGCUGGCUCUUACGGGAGGCGAGAGGAGGACGGGGGAGGAAUACAUCGGAAUCUACAUUUACGUGGGGGAAAACGUAGGGAAACUUACGCUAAUACGGGAUACGGCCAACGGGUGAAAGGAGGGGAGCUUCGGACCUGGCGCGACGGAAUGGGACGAGGUCGGGUUAGCUAAUUGGCGGGGUAAAGGCACACCAAGGCGAGGAUACGUAGCUGGUCUGAGGGGAGGGCCGGCCACACUGGACCUGAGCCACGUUCCAGCCUCCUCCGGGAGGAGGCGGUGGGGAAUUUUCGACAUAGGGCGCAAGCCUGAGCCAGCCCUACCGCGUGGGUGAGGAAGGCCUUCGGGUUUUAAAGCCCGUUUGUUGGGAAAGAAAAGCUGCAGGUUAAUACCCAGCUGUUCUGACGGUACCAUAAGAACAAGCACCGGCUAACUUCGUG